CCUACGGGAGGCAGCAGUGGGGAAUAUUGGACAAUGGGGGCAACCCUGAUCCAGCCAUGCCGCGUGUGUGAAGAAGGCCCUAGGGUUGUAAAGCACUUUUAGUAGUGAGGAAGGCUCAGUAGUUAAUACCUACUGGGAUUGACGUUAGCUACAGAAAAAGCACCGGCUAAUUUCGUGCCAGCAGCCGCGGUAAUACGGAAGGUGCAAGCGUUAAUCGGAAUUACUGGGCGUAAAGCGCGCGUAGGUGGUUUGUUAAGUUGGAUGUGAAAGCCCUGGGCUCAACCUAGGAACUGCAUCCAAAACUAACUCACUAGAGUACGAUAGAGGGAGGUAGAAUUCAUAGUGUAGCGGUGGAAUGCGUAGAUAUUAUGAAGAAUACCAGUGGCGAAGGCGGCCUCCUGGAUCUGUACUGACACUGAGGUGCGAAAGCGUGGGUAGCGAACAGGAUUAGAUACCCUGGUAGUCCACGCCGUAAACGAUGACAACUAGCUGUUGGGAGACAAUGUCUUUCAGUGGCGCAGCUAACGUUUUAAGUUGUCCGCCUGGGGAGUACGGCCGCAAGGCUAAAACUCAAAUGAAUUGACGGGGACCCGCACAAGCGGUGGAGCAUGUGGUUUAAUUCGAUGCAACGCGAAAAACCUUACCUAUACUUGACAUACUUGGAAUGCUUUGUAAUGAAGCAGUGCCUUCGGGAGCCAAGAUACAGGUGCUGCAUGGCUGUCGUCAGCUCGUGUCGUGAGAUGUUCCGUUAAGUCGGAUAACGAGCGCAACCCUUACCCUUAUUUGCCAGCGAUUCGGUCGGGAACUAUAAGGGGACUGCCGGUGAUAAACCGGAGGAAGGUGGGGACGACGUCAAGUCAUCAUGGCCCUUACGUGUAGGGCUACA
rnacentral:rRNA from 1 species